CCAUUAAAGUGGUCACAACAUUGAUGAGUUCACGAGUGGAUACAUCACAACCACAACUUGAAUGCCGAAUUUCUAGAACACGUAUUCAAUAAUGCA